GGCUGCGUGGCUUAGUGGUGUAAGUUAGGCUAUACUCGUAUAUACUUAUUUAAUUUUUAAUAUAAAAUCUAUAAGUACCCGGUUCGAGCCCGGGCACAGUUA